rnacentral:tRNA from 1 species
GCGAAAGUAGCUCAGUCGGUAGAGCAUUAGCUUCCCAAGCUAAGGGUCGCGGGUUCGAGUCCCGUUUUUCGCU